rnacentral:lncRNA from 1 species
AUUGACCGGGGCUGUUGAGGCAGACUGCUGAUUCGUUUUUCUUUGUUUGAAUUACAUGUUUGAGGUGACUACCUCCAUGAAGAUGGUUGAGAGAAUGCCAAGGGUGUGCAACGCUGUCAUCAAGACUCCCUGAGCCGAGACGAGACCCCAGGGACUAUGGAGAGGGCAGGUCUGGAUCCUCAAUGGGACACGCCCCCUGACAAAUCUCCUCUCUCUCCUCCUACCUCUGUCCAGGAGACCAACACUAGAGAGAGUCUCCUUUUCUCUUCAUGUCUGCUCACAUUGGAGUGACCUUGAAGAAGGCUGCUGGUGGUGUAACAAAAUGGAUCUUAUUGCUUUCAGAACUUUUAAAACUACAAUAACUAUUUUAAUUGAGGAGCAUGACAUCCAUGCAAUCAAUUUCCGUCAGGCUCAAUUUUCACACCCAAUCAGAUCCUUGGCUGGUGAGCUUGGCUUAGAGAGGACUAUGGGUAGGAAAGCGUAGCGGCUGAGUGCCUGCUAAAACCCAGCUGAGGUCAGGAAUAGAACAUGAAAUCCUUAAUGUGACACGCUGUGCUUUACUUUAAUUUCUUCUGUAUAUUUUGUUUUGACAAGCAGCCUUGAAAAUAGAAAAGUUGACUGGUGACAAGACUUAGAUCAGAGGAGGAACAUAGAAUGUACAGGACAAGGUGGGUGUUCCUGUUUUAUACUCUAAAGGGAAAUGUAUUACAGGUGUCUCGAAAAUCUUCCUUGACAUACAAAUACAACCUAGCACUCACCUCUCAUGUCCUCUCCUCUUCUUCUUCUACCUCACCUUCAAAUUCUCCCCACUCCCUCCUCUUGUGUGU